AGUGAACGCUGGCGGUAGGCCUAACACAUGCAAGUCGAACGGCAGCACAGUAAGAGCUUGCUCUUACGGGUGGCGAGUGGCGGACGGGUGAGGAAUACAUCGGAAUCUACUUUUUCGUGGGGGAUAACGUAGGGAAACUUACGCUAAUACCGCAUACUACCUACGGGUGAAAGCAGGGGAUCUUCGGACCUUGCGCGAUUGAAUGAGCCGAUGUCGGAUUAGCUAGUUGGCGGGGUAAAGGCCCACCAAGGCGACGAUCCGUAGCUGGUCUGAGAGGAUGAUCAGCCACACUGGAACUGAGACACGGUCCAGACUCCUACGGGAGGCAGCAGUGGGGAAUAUUGGGCAAUGGGCGCAAGCCUGAUCCAGCCAUACCGCGUGGGUGAAGAAGGCCUUCGGGUUGUAAAGCCCUUUUGUUGGGAAAGAAAAGCAGCAGGUUAAUACCCCGCUGUUCUGACGGUACCCAAAGAAUAAGCACCGGCUAACUUCGUG
rnacentral:rRNA from 1 species